AUAAUGAACUGGGAUGGAAAAAUUUCUGCUUCUAUUACUUCUUAAGGAUCUCAAUUUUGUGUGCAAAUAUCUAGGAUUUUUGGUAAGAAUUAACUUAUGAACUAUG